AUUGAACGCUGGCGGCAGGCCUAACACAUGCAAGUCGAACGAGUGGCGGACGGGUGAGUAAUGUCUGGGAAACUGCCUGAUGGAGGGGGAUAACUACUGGAAACGGUAGCUAAUACCGCAUACCAUCAGAUGUGCCCAGAUGGGAUUAGCUAGUUGGUGGGGUAACGGCUCACCAAGGCGACGAUCCCUAGCUGGUCUGAGAGGAUGACCAGCAACACUGGAACGGAGACACGGUCCAGACACAUACGGGAGGCAGCAGUGGGGAAUAUUGCAAAAUGGGCGCAAGCCUGAUUCAGCCAUGCCGCGUGUAUGAAGAAGGAAUUCGGGUUGUACAGUACUUUCAGCGGGGAGGCGUUACCCGCAGAAGAAGCACCGGCUAACUCCGUGCCAGCAGCCGCGGUAAUUC
rnacentral:rRNA from 1 species